rnacentral:rRNA from 1 species
UUGUCCGGAUUUAUUGGGCGUAAAGAGUUUGUAGGCGGUUAGUUACGUCGGAUGUGAAAACCCGGAGCUUAACUCCGGGCCUGCAUUCGAUACGGGCUGACUAGAGUGUUGUAGGGGAGACUGGAACUCCUGGUGUAGCGGUGAAAUGCGCAGAUAUCAGGAAGAACACCGGUGGCGAAGGCGGGUCUCUGGGCAGCUACUGACGCUGAGGAGCGAAAGCUAGGGGAGCAAACGGG